rnacentral:rRNA from 1 species
CCUACGGGCGGCUGCAGUGGGGAAUAUUGGACAAUGGGGGGAACCCUGAUCCAGCCAUGCCGCGUGUGUGAAGAAGGCCCUCGGGUUGUAAAGCACUUUCAGUGAGGAAGAACGCCUGGUGGUUAAUACCCAUCAGGAAAGACAUCACUCACAGAAGAAGCACCGGCUAACUCCGUGCCAGCAGCCGCGGUAAUACGGAGGGUGCGAGCGUUAAUCGGAAUUACUGGGCGUAAAGCGCGCGUAGGUGGCUUGAUAAGCCGGUUGUGAAAGCCCCGGGCUCAACCUGGGAACGGCAUCCGGAACUGUCAAGCUAGAGUGCAGGAGAGGACGGUAGAAUUCCCGGUGUAGCGGUGAAAUGCGUAGAGAUCGGGAGGAAUACCAGUGGCGAAGGCGGCCUUCUGGACUGACACUGACACUGAGGUGCGAAAGCGUGGGUAGCAAACAGGAUUAGAUACCCCUGUAGUA